rnacentral:rRNA from 1 species
AUGGAGGUGGCGCUACAGGCGUGUGAUGCCGCAGACUGGGUCUACAAGGGAGAGGGCGCGGCGAAUGUCAUCCUCAGCUACACCGACUCCUCGCCCUCCAUGCGUCGUCAUGUCCUGGUUCAAGAGGCCCAUCAUCUACGACGUCCGCGCGUGACCCAACCUCGUCGAGAGCACCUCCGGGAGCCGGGAUCUCCAGAUGGUAACCUCCUCCUAUCUCGAUCCCUUCCCACCUAG